rnacentral:snoRNA from 1 species
AAGACUGUGCUUCAUAGGAUCAUUUCUAUAGGCAAGUUUUCAGCUUUACUUUCUCCGAAAGUAGAGUUUUUCCAACCCACGAUGAUGAGAUGUAGUGGCUGCCCUGGAGCGUGAAACUGUCAGAUCUCGGUUGCGUCUCUGACGUGCCGAUCUGUACUUGAUGAUCGUAUCCUUUAAUAAAAGGGUAGACACAGUCUGAGUGGU